GACGAACGCUGGCGGCGUGCUUAACACAUGCAAGUCGAGCGGUAAGGCCUUUCGGGGUACACGAGCGGCGAACGGGUGAGUAACACGUGGGUGAUCUGCCCUGCACUUCGGGAUAAGCCUGGGAAACUGGGUCUAAUACCGGAUAUGACCUCCUAUCGCAUGGUGGGUGGUGGAAAGAUUUAUCGGUGCAGGAUGGGCCCGCGGCCUAUCAGCUUGUUGGUGGGGUGAUGGCCUACCAAGGCGACGACGGGUAGCCGACCUGAGAGGGUGACCGGCCACACUGGGUCAGAGACGCGGCCGGCCCACCGGCGGGGGGCGGCGGGGGGAAAUAUUGCAAAGGGGCCAAAGCCCGACUGCAGCCCCCCCGCGUGGGGGAGCCCGCCCUGCGGUUUGAACCCCUCUCGCACCGGGCAAAAAGCGCACGGGACGUUCCCUAAAAAAGAAGCACCGACAACCCCCGUC
rnacentral:rRNA from 1 species